GAUGAACGCUGGCGGCGUGCCUAAUACAUGCAAGUCGAGCGAACGGACGAGAAGCUUGCUUCUCUGAUGUUAGCGGCGGACGGGUGAGUAACACGUGGAUAACCUACCUAUAAGACUGGGAUAACUUCGGGAAACCGUAGCUAAUACCGGAUAAUAUUUUGAACCGCAUGGUUCAAAAGUGAAAGACGGUCUUGCUGUCACUUAUAGAUGGAUCCGCGCUGCAUUAGCUAGUUGGUAAGUUAACGGCUUACCAAGGCAACGAUGCAUAGCCGACCUGAGAGGGUUAUCGGCCACACUGGAACUGAGACACGGUCCAGACUCCUACGGGAGGCAGCAGUAGGGAAUCUUCCGCAAUGGGCGAAAGCCUGACGGAGCAACGCCGCGUGAGUGAUGAAGGUCUUCGGAUCGUAAAACUCUGUUAUUAGGGAAGAACAUAUGUGUAAGUAACUGUGCACAUCUUGACGGUACCUAAUCAGAAAGCCACGGCUAACUACGUG
rnacentral:rRNA from 1 species